UUUUACCAAAUAUAUCGAUAAUUGUGAAGAAACAAAGCUAAGAGCUUUGUGUAUCUGUCUGUAUUCUUGAUAAAAAUAUCAUAAAAUCAUGAUUAUUGAACUUAAAACAUUACAAAGAAGCAUAGGAAGACUUUAUUCAAAGGAUUUGUAGAUUAAACUUUAAUCAUUAAGGUAUGAAAUAGAAUAUUUUAUUAAAGCUUAUUGUAUUUCUAGAAAAUUCUGGGAGCUAGAGACAGAGGACUUGGAACAUGUGCGAAGAUCACUGAAGCACACUAACCGGAUUAUCAGAUGACACGGAUAAGAUGACUGGAUUAUAAGCUGGAUGAGUGGAUUUGGAAAGAAGCUUAGAGGAGGAGAUCCUUGUUCUCAUCUCCCUGGCGCAACUGUCAUAUUAAAUACUUUUACGAAAUUGCAAUUUAACUUUUAUAGUAGGACAGGAAGGCGACAGGCGUGCCAGCCAUCGAGCCACCAGCCAUUCUCGCAAAGAAAAAUAAACAAAAUUUCCUGAGAAAUAUCCAACGGGUUGUAAGUUACAGUGAACACUUGAUAAAGAGAAAUGCCUAAAUUUCAAGACGCUAAAGGUUCAGAGUUUCGAAUGACUUCCAACUAAACCCUAAACUAAAUGCAAAUUAUUUUCUUUUUUAAGAAGUACCUACUGUACCAGCGAAGUCCUCCCUUCCACGGCACACAAAUAGUAGUCCUGCAAGUCCUGUUGCGAGCAAAUCUACUGGCAAAUGGCGUUCAAACUAUUCGCAGCUUAUCAAUGGACGGCCAAGAAAGGACGAAAAGGACGAAGAGGUUGAACGAGAAGCAUAUCCUGGCGUAUUUAACAUCAUAGACCGCAUCGUCCUGCUGAGCGAGAUAUAAUGAGUUUUUUAAUAAAAACUGACGGAGCACGGAGAAAUGGAGAAAUAUACAAUGGCAGGAUAACGCGGGGCCAGGACGACAACAAGGAAUAACGGCAACAAGGAGCGAUGGAAAGGACAACCUUGCCACGCCUCCGCCCCCCUCGAAUACCCCUCAUUCAUCAACGCCCCCCACAGCCUCCUACUUCUCCUCCCCAGCCACACCAUUCAACUAUGAAUUCAAAAUUCAAAUAUACGGCGUCACCUUUAAUUUAAGAAAGAAAAUAUGGAAAAGGGGGGGGGGGGGGGGGAAGAAAAAAAGUAGCCGGAGAAAGUGGGACAAUAGCAAGAAGGGCGCAAAAAAAAAAAGAAAGAAAGAAAGAGAAAAGGUUUACAGAAACUCCAAGUAAUUGAAGCGAGACUUUUUUGACUUUGGGCUAAAUAAAUACAAAUCCCCAAAUUCCUAUAGGUUUAAAAUUGCAAUUGACGAGAAAAGAAAACCCGAAGACCCCUACUGAUUUUGGAGAGAAAAGGAGAGAGAGAGGUGCAAAAAAAAGUCGGCAAG